rnacentral:misc_RNA from 1 species
GAUGCGGGGGCGCGGCGGGAC